rnacentral:rRNA from 1 species
UACGGAGGGUGCAAGCGUUAUCCGGAUUCACUGGGUUUAAAGGGUGCGUAGGAGGGCAGGUAAGUCAGUGGUGAAAUCUCCAAGCUUAACUUGGAAGCUGCCGUUGAUACUAUCUGUCUUGAAUACCGUGGAGGUGAGCGGAAUAUGUCAUGUAGCGGUGAAAUGCUUAGAUAUGACAUAGAACACCAAUUGCGAAGGCAGCUCGCUACACGAAUAUUGACUCUGAGGCACGAAAGCGUGGGGAUCAAACAGG